rnacentral:rRNA from 1 species
GAUGAACGCUGGCGGCGUGCCUAAUACAUGCAAGUCGAGCGAACAGACGAGGAGCUUGCUCCUCUGACGUUAGCGGCGGACGGGUGAGUAACACGUGGAUAACCUACCUAUAAGACUGGGAUAACUUCGGGAAACCGGAGCUAGUACCGGAUAAUAUAUUGAACCGCAUGGUUCAAUAGUGAAAGACGGUUUUGCUGUCACUUAUAGAUGGAUCCGCGCCGCAUUAGCUAGUUGGUAAGGUAACGGCUUACCAAGGCAACGAUGCGUAGCCGACCUGAGAGGGUGAUCGGCCACACUGGAACUGAGACACGGUCAAGACUCCUACGGGAGGCAGCAGUAGGGAAUCUUCCGCAAUGGGCGAAAGCCUGACGGAGCAACGCCGCGUGAGUGAUGAAGGUCUUCGGAUCGUAAAACUCUGUUAUUAGGGAAGAACAAAUGUGUAAGUAACUAUGCACGUCUUGACGGUACCUAAUCAGAAAGCCACGGCUAACUACGUG